rnacentral:lncRNA from 1 species
UUGUUAUAGCACAAUGUUCAUCGUUAACUGCUAUGACUUUUUUGGACAAUCACUCCUUGAAUACAAAGAUCAAACCAAUUGUGCAGCAAUGACAAAUGAUUUUCAGAACCCUCAAGUUAUACUCCAAAAGUUGGUGCAUGAAAGUCUGCCCUGGUCAUCUUGGAACUCUGCCACCAACAUUGAUGAAGACAAAUUAAAACCAUUUGUGCACAAAAAUAAUUCAACCAAAUGAAGAACCUGGGGUUUCUAGCAUUAUCAUAAAGACUAACAUUAUGCAGUCCAAGCUCUUUCGGUGUCCCUCACAUCUCCAGAUACCGGAUAUGCAUUCCUUACAAGUUGAUUCAUCUCAAUUAGCACUCGAAUAGAAUAAAAACCGCUGUUCGCACUCAAAACUUGUCAGAAUUUGGAACAAAUGCAAUAUCGGACCCUCCUAAUGAGGGAACAACUUAAAGCGGUUAAAAAAAAGUCAAUGAAGCGGGUGGUUUGUGACUUUCCAAAAAUUUCCAUAAUCCGACAAAUCAACCCAACGAUCUCUUAUAUUGUUUCGUUAGAUAUUGUGAUGCAAACCAUGUCG